ACAUCCAGUCUUUCCGUGAGAGCCUAAUUUUAAGAGAGAAAUAUUAUUGGAAAAAGAAGUGUUCCCUUAACGAUGGAAGCUUGAAUGAGCACACAACUGGAAAGCAUCAAUGAGAGAAAAAAGAACUCACUUAGGAAGGGUUGUACUUCAGAACAUGGAUUAAAGUGUUGGGAGUAAUAUAAUUUGAACAGUGUUUUAAAUAUAGUACACUGACCUAAUGUCAGCAUUUAACAAUUUACAUCCAGAACAUGGAAAGAAGUCUGUGUACAUUAUGAAAUAUACUACUAUCAGAGCUGGAUGCUACUAAAUAAUUUGUCAGUUAUUACGACAUCAAGUAAACAUAUCACUAACAGAACUGUUACAUCCUUUCCUAAAUGCCUUAGCCUUGUGUUUAUAUAUCAAUUUUUGAAAAAGUCUAGAAGCCUGGAAAUUGCUUAAAAAUACCCUUAUGCCUUUCUGUUAAGCACAGCUAGCAUGAUAAGCUGCAACCCUCUCUACCACUGCUAUUCAAAUAAAUCUAUUUGCAAGA